rnacentral:rRNA from 1 species
AUUGAACGCUGGCGGCAGGCCUAACACAUGCAAGUCGAACGGUAACAGGAAGCAGCUUGCUGCUUUGCUGACGAGUGGCGGACGGGUGAGUAAUGUCUGGGAAACUGCCCGAUGGAGGGGGAUAACUACUGGAAACGGUAGCUAAAACGGAUUAACUUCCCAGGACCAAGGAGGGGACCCUAGGGGCCCCUGGCAAUGGGAGGGCCCAGAUGGGAUUAGCUAGUAGGUGGGGUAACGGCUCACCUAGGCGACGAUCCCUAGCUGGUCUGAGAGGAUGACCAGCCACACUGGAACUGAGACACGGUCCAGACUCCUACGGGAGGCAGCAGUGGGGAAUAUUGCACAAUGGGCGCAAGCCUGAUGCAGCCAUGCCGCGUGUAUGAAGAAGGCCUUCGGGUUGUAAAGUACUUUCAGCGGGGAGGAAGGGAGUAAAGUUAAUACCUUUGCUCAUUGACGUUACCCGCAGAAGAAGCACCGGCUAACUCCGUG